GCACUCUGAAGACAAAGAUCCUAUGUGCUGGUUUGAUACGGCUAAGAAAAUGAUGAGGAACACUAGGAAGGAACAAAAGAAAACAUGUUCUUUUUGUAGGAAAUGGUGAUAUGUCCCCCUUUGCGGAAUUAGCCCCAAAGACUAAGGAGUCUUACCAUCUCUAUAAAAUAGGAUGAUAAUUGUAUUUCUCAAAGUGGUAAGGAUUGAAUGAGAAACUGCAAGUAAAACUUUAGGCAUAGUUAUAGGCACCAGUAAUCAUACCAAAAAUGUAAAUUAUCAUUAUUUUAUCUUUCUUUUUCUUUUUUUUGUUUGUUUGUUUGUUUGUUUGUUUUUGGGUUUUUUUGUUUUUUUUUUUUGUCUUUUUGCCAUUUCUUGGGCCACUCCCAGGCUAGGGGUCGAAUCGGAGCUGUAGCCACUGGCCUACGCCACAGCCACAGCAACGCAGAAUCCGAGCCGCGUCUGUGAUCCACACCACAGCUCACGGCAAUGCCGGAUCUUUUAACCCACAGAGCAAGGCCAGGGAUCGAACCCACAACCUCAUGGUUCCUAGUCAGAUUAGCUAACCACUGAGCCACUACGAGAACUCCUCUUUUUCUUUUUUGCUUUUUUUUUUUUUGGCUGCAUCCACGGCAUGUGGAAGUUCCUGGGCCAGGAAUCCAACCUGUGCAGCAAUGCCCAAUCUUUAACCCACAAGGGAAUUUGCUGUUUCUUUUAUUUUUAUGCUCCUUGUUACCUACCCUCACUCCCAAAUCCACCUUCUGAUGGUCAGUUGAUUAGAUUCAUUAAUAGAAUUAAUAGAAUUACUGACCAGACUUUCCUUGGACUGGGAGAAAAGUGUACUUUGUACUAUAGUUCUCAGGAGAACCAAGAUCUCCUUUAGUUCUCACUGUUGCCCCCAUGUAAAGCUUGCAAUAAUUUUGAUUUAGGUGUUUUUUUGCGGGGGAGGGGGGGACUCAUUAAGCAAGAGAAUCAACAAAUUGAGGAGAAAUGUGCUGAUUUUCUAAGUUAACAAUAAGCAAGACUCUUCCCACCCACUUUGAGGGUAAAACCUAGAGCUACACCUGAAUACUCCCAUUGCCUCUGUAUCUACUGAGGACAUGUGUGACAUAACCCAAUUUAGCAGACGUUUAUUGAAUACCUGCUGUGUUCGGCUCCCUGUCUAGGCACUAGAGGAUACAAAGGUGAUCCAAGAUGUGUUUCUCGAGUUUAAUGGUCAGAAUGGUUAGAAAAAAAAA
rnacentral:lncRNA from 1 species